rnacentral:lncRNA from 1 species
UUCGUUUUAGUCGUUGUGUGCUAGUUUUGGUGUGUUAGGUUUGCUUCGCUUGGGGCUAGUGGUGAACCAUAGCAGUAGUGGGGUUAUGGUUGUGCCGCCAGGAGUUGUGUGGUUUUAAGUGUGUUUCUUAAGCAAGACAAUUACAGUUCACUAAUUAAAUAAAGCCCCUGUUUGCUUAGUCGUUUCUUUUUCUUCUUUCUCUUUCUGU